rnacentral:rRNA from 1 species
UACGAAGGGUGCAAGCGUUGUUCGGAUUUACUGGGCGUAAAGCGCGCGCAGGCGGGUAUUUAAGUCAGAUGUGAAAUCUCGGGGCUCAACCCCGAAACUGCGUCUGAAACUGGAUAUCUAGAAUACCAGAGAGGGAAGGGGAAUUUCACAUGUAGGGGUAAAAUCCGUAGAGAUGUGAAGGAAUACCGGAGGCGAAGGCGCCUUCCUGGAUGGUUAUUGACGCUGAGGCGCGAAAGCGUGGGGAGCAAACAGGAUUAGAUACCCUGGUAGUCCACGCCGUAAACUAUGAGAACUAGAUUUGGCAGGAAUUGACCCCUGCCGUGUCGAAGCUAACGCAUUAAGUUCUCCGCCUGGGGAGUACGGUCGCAAGAUUAAA